rnacentral:rRNA from 1 species
AGUCGAACGAACUCUUCGGAGUUAGUGGCGGACGGGUGAGUAACACGUGGGAACGUGCCUUUUGGUUCGGAAUAACUCAGGGAAACUUGUGCUAAUACCGAAUGUGCCCUUCGGGGGAAAGAUUUAUCGCCAUUAGAGCGGCCCGCGUCUGAUUAGCUAGUUGGUGAGGUAAUGGCUCACCAAGGCGACGAUCGGUAGCUGGUCUGAGAGGAUGAUCAGCCACAUUGGGACUGAGACACGGCCCAAACUCCUACGGGAGGCAGCAGUGGGGAAUCUUGCGCAAUGGGCGAAAGCCUGACGCAGCCAUGCCGCGUGAAUGAUGAAGGUCUUAGGAUUGUAAAAUUCUUUCAGUAGGGACGAUAAUGACGGUACCUACAGAAGAAGCCCCGGCUAACUUCGUGCCAGCAGCCGCGGUAAUACGAAGGGGGCUAGCGUUGCUCGGAAUUACUGGGCGUAAAGGGAGCGUAGGCGGACAUUUAAGUCAGGGGUGAAAUCCCGGGGCUCAACCUCGGAAUUGCCUUUGAUACUGGGUGUCUUGAGUAUGAGAGAGGUAUGUGGAACUCCGAGUGUAGAGGUGAAAUUCGUAGAUAUUCGGAAGAACACCAGUGGCGAAGGCGACAUACUGGCUCAUUACUGACGCUGAGGCUCGAAAGCGUGGGGAGCAAACAGGAUUAGAUACCCUGGUAGUCCACGCCGUAAACGAUGAUUGCUAGUUGUCGGGAUGCAUGCAUUUCGGUGACGCAGCUAACGCAUUAAGCAAUCCGCCUGGGGAGUACGGUCGCAAGAUUAAAACUCAAAGGAAUUGACGGGGGCCCGCACAAG